rnacentral:lncRNA from 7 species
UGCCAGGUCGUAUCUGGCUCGGUCGGCCGCCGCGCCGGCGGCGUCACCCGCAGGAACGGGGAUGGGGAAUGUUUCCCCAUCCCCGUCCCCGAUUACCCAUCGGGGAAGGAUUUUUCCCCGUUUACAUCCCCGCGGGGGGGAGAACCUUCCCCAUCCCCAUCCCCUAAUGGAGGAAUUCCCCGCGGGGAUUCGGGGAUCGGGGCCCCAUUGCCAUCUCUAGUCGGGACGUCGCCGCGCGCCAUGUGCCGUACGAGCAUAGCAUUACAUAUAUCAUAAAUAUAUUUUAGUUUAAUACUGUCGCCGUUCUAAUUUAUAAUUUGUGACUUGUUUUAUCGAGUCUUAUUCAAUUUUUUAGAAGGAAAUGAAAAUAAUAUAUUAUAUGUUAAAUGAUAUCACAACAGAAAUUAACAAUUAUUAUGAAAUUUUUAAAUAAUACUAGUCUAUUAAAUUUGGACGGAGGGAGUAGUAUACCUUUUUUUAAUGUAGAGUUCUUUUUUUUUACAAAUUCAUCAACGCGUACUAGAAUUCGACUUAUGAUUCUGAAUUUUAAUCUGUUUACAAACGAAAAAGAGAAUAAAUCGGCUGUCGCACACAGGCGACAAGGACUGGAAGACAUGAACCAUCAACCAUGUUCGUAACUUUGUUUGCUACGAGGGGACGUUGCUUGUAGGCUAGGCGGUGGUGUUUCAUUUAUGAACGUUGUAAAUUGUAUCAUGCCAUUUGUAUUUCGAAUGUAGAUUUUGUUUCCCAAAUCAUGUCUUUUAUGUGUGUGGGUGAAAUCAUAUCGAAUUUUUGGUUUUCCAAGUCCAACCACACUACUUCCUACAGUCCUAUAGGCUUCCUACACCCCACGGAUCUCUGCUGGAUCUGUACGUCAACACAUCAUAAAAAUGUAUGGAUUGUUCGUUUCAGAUUAAAGACAGCUAUUUAGACUAUUGCAGCUGCAAUUUAUAAAUACAAAAUAAUGUAAAAGCAGUAGAAGUCGAUAUAUAUUAAAGUCAUACGAACAGGAUGUAAUCUUUUUAUCUCCAAAUAUUUAUUACUUUAGUUAUAAAUCUAAAUAAUAUUUACCUAGAUUUGCAACUAAAGUAUCAACUAUUUUAAGAUAAAAGGAAUAAGUUUAGAGAAGGGUUUCACGUUCAUGUUGAAAUUAUAACUGUUGAAAUUAUAACUAUCCUUUUAAUUAAUCAAUAAUCUUUUUUGUUGUUUGUCAAUAAAUAAAAUAUAGAGAUUGAUUAUAAAUAAAUUAUGCUAUUCGUCACACUAAGUGAUGAUCAUUUUACUCUGGAAUGACUUAAUAAAAAUCAUAAAUAAUUUAACAAUUAAUGAAGAUUUUGUCAUUACCUAGAGAACUAACCACACACGAUUAACUAGGUUGAUCCGUCCAUCGCUCCGAGUGGAGGUUUGGGUUCGAUCGCGUGGGCUCGUUCAGGUGAUGGACCGAGCCUGCAUAUGGACCACGACUACCCACUAAAUACCCAGCACAGUAAAACCAUAUGAGUAUUACGCAUGAGCAAGGACGCUUCUAUUGAGAUAAUCACAAACAGACGAGAGGCAGUUCGUCCAGUUGUCCGGCAAUCAUAUUGCAACAAGACAAUGUACUCACAACACCUAACCUAGAUAUAUCAGACAUAAGUAAGAUGCAAUCUGAUCUCACACUAGUGGGCAUACGAAGAAUAAUCCGUUGCUGAUAUACAUCAACAUGCAGGCUCAUUAAGAUUACCGGCUUCCAGCUUGGCUGCAGACGACCCUGGGCCUGGGGGGAAGGGUGCGGUGCAUACAUGGGAGCAAUGGAACGUAGGCGUGCAAGGUUGAUUGCGUCGGCUGCGAGCAAUCACCCAGACUUGAAUAGCAAGACAGCUUUAGAGUCGAUGUAGAAAUAUACAAAGUAGUUUGUCUCGUGCGUCACGUAUGAACCUGCAUCAAGAACAAAUAAAAAAAUGCUUAGCAAAAUUGUUGACAUUCAAUAUGUAUAUCAUGAAUAAACGGAAUGGGUUUGUAAGGGAAUUUUAAUCCUCAUGCUAUUCUUUAAGCUCACUUUUUCAUUCCCAAUAUAACGCAUGUGGCAUUCUAGGAGGAUAGGGCUUGUUUGGAUGGUCUCAUAACAGAGAUACACUGAAACUAAAGGAUCUAGAUGUUUUCGAUGUGGGUUAACAAAUCAAAACAAUUUGACACAGAAACUCCAGCAGCACUGGCCAUUGUAAACAAGAUAAAAGAUGAACGUCUAACCAAAGACAGAAGAGGAUAUAUACCGUGUCUGUCACCCUAUGGAUCUUAACACUCUCUGAACUACGAGAAGCAAUUAAAGAUAAGAUUUCUUAGUUAUAUCCUAAUACUCCCUCCGGCCCAGUUUAUAAGGCACGCAUGCAUAUCAAUAUUCAAAUUUCACAAUCUUUGACCAAUAAUUUGGCCAGCAACUUCUAACUAUUGUAAUACAAACUUGAUAAAGUUGGAGUUAAAUUCAAAUAUCCUAUCCAAUUAUCAAAAAUUUUACAAUCAUAAAAAAAUAUAACAAAUGAUAAAUAAAUGGUCACAGAAUACAGCAUGAGUCAGUUGUGAGUGUAUGUCAUUAUCUGUACUUGUCGGCCCUCCUUUUUUUUAUUCAUAAAAGAAAACGGAAGCGUUUGCUGUAACUCAGGAUAAUAAAUGGUGGCCAAAUUGAGAGAGAAAAUGGAUACAACAGAAAUAGUUAAUAACAAAAAAGGUUGGGAAUUCUAAUACUGCAAAACAUCCCUUUUUUUUCUAUGCCACCAAUCAAGAAAAUCUGUCAAAUAUCCCCACUACUUUCAGUGUUAAAACAUCUUUUCAGUUAAGAGGGCAUUCAUAUUUUCCUUUGUUUCAAUCUUUCCAGCCUUGCUCGAGCAGCAACACUCAUGAGAAUGGGUAACAUUUGGCACUAAUCCAAUCAUGGGAAGUACGCUGGCACAAUCAGAUGUCACUAGCAGCUGCUGGUACGGAGCGAAAACAAACAUGAUUUCUGAUGAUGGCUCGGGGAGGGAGAAGUGAUAUGUUAUGGUCAGUCAGGAUGUCAUCCCCGCCCUUAUCACAUGGAAUAGGAUUAGAUAUGGGUUAUUAGGAUCAGGUUGCUUAGAUACUAAGCUAGGUGAGUUUUUUUACGAUGUGACUUGCCCAUUAAAAGCAGCCAGCAACACACGAGAAUCAAUCAAGGAUGAAGUACAUAAAUCCAUUUCCAAUCCAUAAUCUGGUCUCUGUCUAAGUUGACUCCGCCUGGCUAUCUUCCUGUUUUUACCAUUGAUGAACUAUGGUUCAUAACAUGAUAUGUUCUAUUUGCUUUACACGACAUACAGGGGCGGAGCUAGAAUUGCGAUAUAAGGGGGGCCGACCAAUUCAUUAAUACUAUAUGAUAAAAAAAAUAUUAUAUAAUGUUACCAAUGUUAAGCACUCGUUAUGCAAUAAGAAUUCUAGAUCUUUAUAUUUAUCUUAGUCCAUGAGUCUAUUUUUUAGCUAAUUGAUAUAUUGAACUAAAGUUGCGAUGCAAGAACAAUACCAAAAAAUAAAGACGAUAUAACGAUGAAUAUCCGACUAAUGAGAUUCAACUUUUAUAUAAUGACUCUAGUAUUCAUGAGACGGCUAACAAAAUUUUGAGAGAAUUCAAAAAUCCAACUAGCCUCGGGGAUCCAUGAAAAUUCAUCAACCUACGCAGGUACAUGUCAAAUUUGUCGUGUACGCCAACUAUCAGGUGACAACUUCAGUUGAAAUUUGUAGAUUUUAUUAUCCAUGAUAUCUAAUGUAGUAUGUAUAUAAGUUGCUAGCUCAUUCUACUGCUUCGCGUGAUCAUCUUCUUUGGACUUUGGUUGUGGGGCUAUGGCAGAGGCAAGUCAAGUGGUCAACGGCAAUCGGCAGUGGCCUUGCCACACGAUAGAAUGAAUCAUAAAAGGAUGAGGUUCAGAUAUCAACGUCUGCAAGCAAAUUAAGUUUGACGUUUCAUGCAUCGAUUGGUCAUUCAACAAAUAUUUUAUCUUAUAUUCUUUGUCUCUUUUAGACUUUGAUUGAUAUACUACAACAUAGUUAUGGAUCAUGUAUAAUAAACCACUAUAUUAAACCUUUGAUUAAUUGUGGUGCAUAAAAUUUAGAGUAUAUAUAUUUUAGACUAUAUAUAGUCUCUUGUAUGUCACAGCCUUGGGAGGGGCCAUGGCCCCUGCCGGGCCCCCAUUGGCUCCGCCCCUGACGACAUACAAGUUGCAGUGGAAGGCCCUACUAGGUAUCUAGGCAUGCUUUUACAAUAAUAAAAAAAAUGUUACCAUGACUGAGAGGAAACUAGGAUGGAAAAGAAAAUCAGCAAGUUAUAAACAACUGAAUGCUACAUACAUACACACAUAUAUUGCCUAUAGAAGAAUAUGAAUACAUGUGACAUGGCAUAGCAGGCAGAAUUUCGCAGAUCUCAAAGUCUUAACAUAUGUCUGACAUGACCUCCAAUCAUAAAAUAGGCUGCCUUAUAAAUACAAAUAAUAAGAAAAUCAAAGUAAAUUUAGAGAAAAGGGAUUACUACGGUAAGUCCAAAAUAGAACAUUCGGUAGAAAAAAUAUACAAACAUGGACAGCAAAGUUCUGCUCAUAAGAACUUAGACCCACAUUAAAACAAUAAACAGAGAGAUAAACGAUUGUUUCAUUGUUCAAAGUAUUUUUUCAGUCUAGAAAUUGUUCUCUUAGAAAUUUCAGUCUUUUUUCUCGAAAGCGCAGGAGAGCUGCGCAUCAUUAUAUUAAGUAGAAGGAAAAGAGGGUCCAAAAUAGACCCCAGUACAAAAGACAUCCCCUAAGGGGAU